rnacentral:lncRNA from 1 species
CAACUCUAGUGUUGUGCCUAGCUUUUUCUGCCCAUCUUCGGCGGACGGGUAUAGUAACUUCUUGUGAUCUUCUAGCAUUUGGUCAAACUUAGCGUUCUCCUUUUCACUUUUGCAAUCUCUCUGUGUAACGUGAAUGACAUCACCAAGAGCAUCAUCAUCUUCAGCUAUAGUGUUUUCUGCAUCCUCCUCUUCUUUACCAUCCUCCAUCGCAAAGUCACAGUAUUGAGUAAAAACAUCGUCAGGG